rnacentral:rRNA from 1 species
AUUGAACGCUGGCGGCAGGCCUAACACAUGCAAGUCGAACGAGUGGCGGACGGGUGAGUAAUGUCUGGGAAACUGCCUGAUGGAGGGGGAUAACUACUGGAAACGGUAGCUCAUACCGCAUACCAUCGGAUGUGCCCAGAUGGGAUUAGCUUGUAGGUGAGGUAACGGCUCACCUAGGCGACGAGCCCUAGCUGGUCUGAGAGGGUGACCAGCAACACUGGAACUGAGACACGGUCGAGACUCCUACGGGAGGCAGCAGUGGGGAAGAUUGCGCAAUGGGCGUAAGCCUGAUGCAGCCAUGCCGGGUGUAUGAAGAAGGCCUUCUGGUUGUAAAGUACUUUCAGCGGGGAGGCGUUACCCGCAGAAGAAGCACCGGCUAACUCCGUGACAGCAGCCGCGGUAAUAC